UGGGGCAACGACAGGAGGGACUGGGGUGCUCUGCCAUAUGAGGCUGCGGGAAGGCAUGGAUCCGAGUUUUAGCCACAGCAUAAUAGGCGGUCUGUGAUGGUUUUGUGGGUAACCAGUGAGCUUCCCCAAUUGAUCGGUGCAGUUAUCAUUCUAUUUUAGACCCCUAAUUGGCAUUUCCAAGCAGUUUAAAUAUGUUUUGAGAAAAAGGCAGUAAAAGAGACUAAAUCUGGGGGAAAGCAAAGCUUCAGUAAAAAUAGCAUUCCAAAUAUUUCAGCUGGGAUCUCUUUGUCUAACUAACAGAGAUUUGGAGAGUGGAUCAGAAGGCCUGCAUCUCCUUCCCCUUCUGCAAUUAGCCAGGUAUAUGCCCGUGGGCAAGCCAUUGAACUGAUCCUGGGCCACUGUUUCCUUACUUACAAGAUGAAGAGGAGCCCCACCUUGCUACUUCCAAGAGCGUAGGAGCUGAGCACCUUUGGGUUGCCCUGGUUUGUGAAGGCCCCCUGAACUAAGAACACAUUAUAUAUUGAUCAGGAAAGGAAUUCGAUAUAGGCUUGGAGGUGAUCUCUGUAAAGUCAGAAAGAGGAUCCUAGGAUUCUAAGGCCAUAUGCACAGGGCAGUGAGCAAGAACUGAAGUUACAGGACUCUCAGGUUCCUGUCUCAGAUGAGGAGACUAUGUUUCCCUCAAGCCACACAGCCAGUGUGUGGUGAAGCUGGAAUUUGUUGCCGGCUGAAUCUUCUGCCCCAGAAUAUCCCAUCUUGCUGUUUAACCAACAUUGAACAAGAGGUUCAGUUACUGGUUAAAGACUGUUCCUAAGGUAAAUGUUUACAUUUAUAAACAUGAAUGUUGUGACUGAAUGUUGUCACUGUUAGUCCAGAAAGCCACUGUGAAUUUAAAAACUUAGUACACUGAGACAUAUGUUUACUCAGAAAAUGAAAAAAACAUUAAAAAAUCUCUGGCCUUCAAA